CGCACACCAUCACAUCCUACAUAAUAUUUAGCUCUGAGGCGUUUCCAGAUGGGAAGUGCGUUUCUGUAUUUUCAUAGCCGUGUUCUCUACGUGAAUGGACUGGCGUGAAGCUGGGGGCUGACGGCUGGCAGGGCAGAACAACUUCCAGUAAAAGAAGGCACUGAGGUUUAAGUGCUACGUGGGAGCAGUUGCCGAUUUUUGCAAUGGGAGGCUGCAUAGAUUCAAGUGUGAGAAUUCGAAGAGAUUCAAAGACUAUAUCACCACCAUGGUCUUGCCAGAAUCUGCCCUCUGAGUCAUUUCUUAAUCUACUGAUUAUCUGUAGAACCAGCCUUAUAUAAACAAGGAAGCAUCUAGCAGGUGAG
ensembl:lncRNA SPRY4-AS1 SPRY4 antisense RNA 1